rnacentral:lncRNA from 1 species
AUACUUUUUAGGGUAUUGGAGUUGAAAUCAACGAUCCUUUCGAUCGAUAUCGAAAAAACAUGAGCUACACUUACAAUCGUCGUAAGUAAAACUUUUAUUUCAUACAUUAUUGCAUACAUAUGUUGAUUUUUUUAAAGGGAGAUUGAUUUAAACGUACUAAAAAAAUGGUUUUCAGAAUGGGCUCGUUCCGAAACAGCUUUUUCCAGUAUUUUCUAGGAAGUUGAAUACCUUUUCAAAGAUUCCCCCAAAUGAAGAGGGUACUUUGGAUUGGGAUGAUUAUAAUAUAGCUUCCAUAUAGUCGGAACGUGGUAGUCAAUUUAGACAGUCGUCUGCUAUGAGCCGUUUUGUAAUGACUAGACUAAGCAUACAUGAAAUGGCCAGCAGUGUCCACCACCAAAAAUUGACUAUCAAAAAGGCGACUGGCAACAAAAACUGGCAUGUGCGCACUAAACAUAUUAAAUCAGGUUGUGCAUACUGCUCACAUGAGUCCUGCCAGUGGCGAAGCUAGGUCAUGCAUGCUAUGCAAAUUUUUAAUGAUUUACACUAUUCAAACCUUUAAAAAUGUAUUGUCUUUAACCUACUUGGAUGUAGGUUUAUAGCAUAACAUGACGAGUUGCCAUGGCUAGCCAUUGAGUCCUGCUCAAUUUAUUCCACUUGUAUAUAAUGUUAGUUUUGUUGGCUGAAGCUUUCUUAUCAUCAUAAUUUCUUUUAGCACGUAGAGAUCGGGAUCGGAAGUAGAUAGAAGCUGGUAAUGAAAUGAUUUCUGAUGAACUGGAACGUCCAUGAAUUUCCAUGAAUACAGUAUAGCGUCGUAGUUGUGCAAGAUAUUGUGACCAUGCGACAAACCACAUCUGAUAAGGCAACCUAAGACGUCAUCGUUUGAAAACUAGACCCAUGAGCUUGUUCAUGCAAGAUGCUGCCUCGUACUAGGGUGAGGCGGUUAAUCGGUAAACCGGAAAACCGAUGUUUUCUGAAAACCGAUUCAACCGGUGUUGUUCUAGGGAAAAAAAAACAGAAAAAAAUUCGGAAAAACUAUUGAAACAAAAUUGCAGAAUGCCAAAAUCACCGCGGUAGUCUAACAUUUUCUGACGAAACUUCGAACUUUCAAACGUUAAAAACGUGAGAAAAUAGCGCACCUUACCGCUUACAUAUCAAGGCAGUACCAUACCAUUAAUGUAAUUUUUUUAAACUAAAAUCUUGAGCGUGUAGCAUGAAGUUUAAUCUAACUGUAAUAUAUUUUGCCAUAAAAAUCGGGUUUUUUUCAGAUUGUUUUCGGUUUUUACCCUGAACCGUCUCAUCGUACCUCGUACCCAGUCGCUUUGCUAACGUUAGGGAGACGCCUGGGUACGAGGCGGCGUGGUGGAACAUGUUCUGUAAGAUUGAUCAUACAUUAUGAGAAAUAUUUUAUUGGCGCAUGCUACCAGAAAGCACAUUCUUUUCGGAGCCCUGUUUGCUCCAAAAGAUUUUAGAGCUGUGUGUUGCAGCAAUAAGACGCGCUUGUACAAAUAACUAAAUUAAAGACAAAUCGUUUUAACGGUGUUAUACGUAUUCAAUGUCAAACAUGCAUCAACGAUAAACGCCAGUGACCGUGGAGUGUGUUUCGAAGUCAACGGGGG